CUGUGCUUCUGUGGGAGACCAGGGCUCAGCAGCGAGCUCAGGGGUCCUGCCUGGCUGCUGCAGACACCCUGGGAGUGCUGGGUGAUGGGCUCUCACCCCACUGUAGGCUGAUGUGCUGACCUGACCCACUGUCUGAAGUGCAGGGAGGUACAGAGAUCGGUGACAAGAUGGACAUAAAAGGGUUGUUGGAUAUCCUAAAUCCUUAAAAAACUUUUACAAGGAGGCUGACAGAUAAAACUCACCUCUGGAUAAAGCAAGUGUGUCUCCAAUGAGCAGGAACACUCAUGAAAUGGAAACAGCUCUUGCUCGUGUUCGGUGCCCAGGGAUCAAGAAGGUUCUGCUCCCCUUAGGAGAAAUGGUACCUGAUGAAUGUUCUUCCUUGCAGAGAGAAAGCUACGGGAGGAAUGGCAUAAUUUGUCCCCUCUCUGUCAUCAGCAAGGUGAAGCCUCUGAAGAGGGUCUAAUGUUGGUUCUGCUAAUGCAGCACUUGGAAGUGGAAAUAACUUUUGGAAAUUUUAUAGGCCUCUAAACGUGGUAUCAACAGGUGAAAUGUAGCAGAUAGGACACUUCUCAGCACACCAGCAAGCACCAUUGUACACAUAGAAGCAUCUGUAUUUUAAAAGACAGAAUAUAGUUUAUUGGCUUUUUUGAAGUCUGUUUCCAAGCACAAACCCAGAAUCCCCCUGUGAUGUGCCUUUUGGUGAUUUAAGGGAUGCUGCCUAACUGGGUAUGGACACAGAGGUGGAAGACAUGUUUUACCAGCAGAAGGGUAAGGCAGCACAGAGCAGUACAAAGUCAGUGAACACCUGCAUCCAGAUCUGCACUGAAUGCCCCAUCAUAGUACUAAUUAAAGUACAAACUCAAUCAAAAUGCAAAGUUCAGAGAAAAUGUGGUUGCAGCUUUCUGUUUUCUUCCACAAGAAAGAAACAUGCUUGACAGUGUUUGCUUAUGUGCUCCGUAAAAAAAGAAGGGCAUUUUACUGUUUAGCUGCAAAACUUGCAGGUAGAUUUAUUAAUUUUCUGCAUAUGGAAUGCACCAGAUUUUACUGAUCUGGUUGGUUCUGCUCCAAAUAGAUAGAUUUUAUGGGUUUUUUUUUAGUUAACAUGAUCUUAUUUUGAGCUGAACAAAAAAGUGCAGAUAACUUUGAACACAAUUAUUUCUCCUAGCUCUUGUUAUUUUCAAUUUACUACAGCUUUUAUACUUUGUCAAGGCCAGGAUGGUAUUGUAUCUGUGGCCCAGCAAUUUAAAUUUCCAACUAAUGUUGGAAAUUCCAACUUCAGCUCAGUGAAAAAAUUAUAUUUCUAUAUGGAAAAAAGAUAAGAGCAAUAUUCUCUACUGCAAUAUACUCAAUCAAACUGCUUUUUAAAUCUGAGAGGUGAAACAGUAUUUUCCUUCAUUCUCAUUUUUGUUCUGAGUAUAAAUUUCAUCCUGUAGCUGAGAUUUUGUCUUGGUAAAGGCUUAAUUGAAAAGACUGAAUUCCAGAGAAAGUCCAAUUUUUGAGGUGAGUCAUAUUCAAGCUCUAAAAAUAUUGACAAUGUUUGAUUCUGAUUUUGAUUUUAAUCAUAAGCUUUCUCUGUAUUUCACUCAUGAACCAUGUCAGCAUGUACUGAUUUACAUGUAAAAAAGAAAAGUACAGAUUCACAGUAAAGGUCAGCUGUGCUGAAACAGAUCUCACUGGUGUGCAAAACUGAUAGCUACUGUGACUAGAUUUUAGCAGAUUUUAUAGGGUAAAGAACAUUGGGGGUAACAUUCAUGUAAUCUGCUGGGUGUUGUCCAUGA